UGGGUUUAUCCUAAGUUAAAUCUCUUCAAGUUUGACCAAGUUUAUAGAAAAAUAUAGCAACAAUUCCAACACAAAAUAAAUAUAACCAUAAAAAUAUAUAUUCAAUGGUGGAUUUAAUGAAACUGAUUUGGUGUUGUAGAUGUUAAUACAUUUUUCUAUAAACUUGGUCAAAAUUAAAGAGAUUUGACCUAGGAAAAGCCCAG
rnacentral:pre_miRNA from 1 species